rnacentral:lncRNA from 1 species
AACAGAUCUGAGGGAGUGCCCAGAACCCUCAGCAUUUUCUUUGCUUGUCUGACAAAAGUAACAAGUCCUUCAUCCUUUGAAUUGAUAUUCUUCUUCUUUGUGCCUGCUUUAGGCUUACGAGAGAACAGGAGACAUCCUGCCUCCUACCUGGUCCAUGGUGGUAAAGCUCUGAACUUGGCCUUUAGAGCCUGGACAAGGAAAGAAGUAAAUACACUUAUUUCUUUACCUACUUAGUAGUUCUUCCUUCCAUAAAGAUUAUGGAUAGAUGUUUGGGGAGUCAUAAAAUCAAAGAGGCAAAUAGCCUCCUGGAUUAGAGUGGAAAACUAGGCUAGGAACCUUUAUUUCAGAUUUUAAGAAAUAAUACAUAUGCUUAUUCUUUAGACUUAGAAAUAUAUAGAUGACUGUAAAGAAAAUUUUCACCU